rnacentral:rRNA from 1 species
CACCUCUAGCAUCACCAGUAUUAGAGGCACUGCCUGCCCAGUGACAUUAGUUAAACGGCCGCGGUAUCCUGACCGUGCAAAGGUAGCAUAAUCAUUUGUUCCUUAAUUAGGGACUUGUAUGAAUGGCCCCACGAGGGUUUAACUGUCUCUUACUUUCAAUCAGUGAAAUUGACCCUCCCGUGAAGAGGCGGGAAUAUAAAAAUAAGACGAGAAGACCCUAUGGAGCUUAAAUUAAUUUGCUCAACAAAAUUUAAAUUCAGCCCAACAGGAAUAAUUAUAAUUUAACUGAGCAAUAAAUUUUGGUUGGGGUGACCUCGGAGUAUAACAAAACCUCCGAGUGAUUACAACUAAGACAUACUUGUCAAAGUUACGUAACUUAUUGAUCCAAUCAUAUUGAUCAACGAAACAAGUUACCCUAGGGAUAACAGCGCAAUCCUAUUUGAGAGUUCAUAUCGACAAUAGGGUUUACGACCUCGAUGUUGGAUCAGGACACCCAAAUGGUGCAGCAGCUAUUAAAGGUUCGUUUGUUCAACG